GAAGCGGCCAGGUGACUGGAGAAGGCGGAGGAAGGCAUUUCAGGCAAGAAAACAGCUUGAGCAAAAGCCAAGAGGAGACAAAAGAGAGCUUCAUAGAAAGGAAACUGAGGCAGUGUUGGGGCAAGAAUCCUCUUUGUGGUGAUUUCUUAGCACAGACUCAUAGAACGUUAUCCAAGAUGGGAGAGAGAACGCCAGGAAAAGGAUCCACCCAGAGCAGCACCGUGGAUGCCGUUUGGGCGCACACAUACCGCCUGGGAUCCUGUGAAAAUGCAGAUUCUGAAUCAGCAGGUCUAGGGCGGGGCCCAAGAACCUGCACUUCUGAAAAGCAAUCAAGGAGUGGACAACUCUUUGAGGGGCAAGGAUCCAGAUUCAAUGUUGUUCGACCGUUUCCAUUUUGCAGCACAUCUGUAAAUUUGCCCAAGUUACAGAAAAUAUAGUCCAAACAGAUGAUCAGGGUGGCGAAGUUGUUCUCCUUAAAACUGAAUUCCUUAAUAAAUACUGUGUUACAGAAAUAUAUGCGAGAAUAGAGCAUUUUACAGCAUCCAUUUUAAAAAAUGGUUCUCUCCUUUCUAUGGAUGCAUCAUUCAACUUCAAUGGCCACUUUGG
rnacentral:lncRNA from 1 species